AAGAUAAGAGCCAGUAAGGAUAGCCAAAGGAGACUGCCUAAAAAACCCCAUUAAAAUGGAUACUUCAAACAAAACCCUGUUUGGGGGUUUUAGGCAAGUCAUCCUUGGCUACCUUACAAGGCUCUUUAAUCU
rfam:Gossypium raimondii Chr07_contig_43, whole genome shotgun sequence.